rnacentral:rRNA from 1 species
AUCACGACUGUGGGAAGGGCUGAGCUCGUCAAGUCCGUGCUUUCCUCCCUGGCCACCUUCCAUGCCACGACGCUCAAACUUCCGGAGGGUACUAUCUCCGACUUUGUGGGCAUUGAGAGAGCUUUCCUCUGGACCGAUUCGGAUAAGGUCUCCGGCGGCCAAUGCAAAGUCAGCUGGAAACUCGUGUGUAGACCAAAGAGGCUUGGUGGGCUGGGUAUCCUUGAUAUUCGUAUGUAUGCCCGGGCUCUGAGGCUGCGAUGGCUUUGGUAUGAGUGGAAGGAGCCGCACAGGGCAUGGGUGGGCAUCGGAAACCCAUGCGACAUCACUGACAGAGAUCUAUUCUAUGCUGCCACGACGAUCUAUGUCGGCGACGGUAGGCUGGCACGCUUCUGGCUCUCCCCCUGGCUAGAUGGAAUGAAGCCCAAGGGCAUUGCACCGGCCAUUUUCGUGAUCUCUGCCAACAAGAACAAGUCUGUGCGAGAAGCCUUGCUUGAAAACCAUUGGAUACAAUGGAUCAAUAUGUCCGGAGGUCUCUCGGUGGAGCACAUUGAAUAG